CACGGGGGGAGCAAGCGUUGUUCGGAAUCACUGGGCGUAAAGGGCGUGUAGGCGGUCAAGUAAGUGGAAUGUGAAAUGCCCCGGCUCACCCGGGGACCUGCAUCCCAAACUGCUUGGCUUGAGUAUGGGAGAGGAUGAGGGAAUUCCUGGUGUAGCGGUGAAAUGCGUAGAUAUCAGGAGGAACACCGGUGGCGAAAGCGCUCAUCUGGCCCAAUACUGACGCUGAGGCGCGAAAGCGUGGGGAGCGAACAGG
rnacentral:rRNA from 1 species